rnacentral:rRNA from 1 species
AGUGAACGCUGGCGGUAGGCCUAACACAUGCAAGUCGAACGGCAGCACAGUAAGAGCUUGCUCUUACGGGUGGCGGGUGGCGGACGGGUGAGGAAUACAUCGGAAUCUACUUUUUCGUGGGGGAUAACGUAGGGAAACUUACGCUAAUACCGCAUACGACCUACGGGUGAAAGCAGGGGAUCUUCGGACCUUGCGCGAUUGAAUGAGCCGAUGUCGGAUUAGCUAGUUGGCGGGGUAAAGGCCCACCAAGGCGACGAUCCGUAGCUGGUCUGAGAGGAUGAUCAGCCACACUGGAACUGAGACACGGUCCAGACUCCUACGGGAGGCAGCAGUGGGGAAUAUUGGACAAUGGGCGCAAGCCUGAUCCAGCCAUACCGCGUGGGUGAAGAAGGCCUUCGGGUUGUAAAGCCCUUUUGUUGGGAAAGAAAAGCAGCAGGUUAAUACCCCGCUGCUCUGACGGUACCCAAAGAAUAAGCACCGGCUAACUUCGUG